rnacentral:rRNA from 1 species
AGCAGCCGCGGUAAUUCCAGCUCCAAUAGCGUAUAUUAAAGUUGUUGCAGUUAAAAAGCUCGUAGUUGAAUUUCGGGAUCAAUUAAUUGGUCGUGCCUCUGGUACGUACUGAUUUUAUUGGUUUCUCCCUUCUGACGAACCAUGAUGUCAUUAAUUUGGUGUCGUGGAGAAUCAGGACUGUUACUUUGAAAAAAUUAGAGUGUUUAAAGCAAGCUAACGCUUGAAUACAUUAGCAUGGAAUAAUGAAAUAGGACGUUUGAUCCUAUUUUGUUGGUUUCUAGGAUCGACGUAAUGAUUAAUAGGGAUAGUUGGGGGCAUUAGUAUUCAAUUGUCAGAGGUGAAAUUCUUGGAUUUAUUGAAGACUAACUACUGCGAAAGCAUUUGCCAAGGAUGUUUUCAUUAAUCAAGAACGAAAGUUAGGGGAUCGAAGACGAUCAGAUACCGUCGUAGUCUUAACCAUAAACUAUGCCGACUAGGGAUCGGAUGAUGUUA